GGCACAGCAGACUCUUUCUUUAUGCCAGUCCUUGGCCUCACAGAGGCUCUGACCUUCAGGUUAAAGGCAGAAGCUUUCAUUGCCACUGUGACUUGAUGUGUUCGAAUCCCUGUGGGGAGGAGCCAAGGCCAAUCAAGUCCUUGCCUGAUCUCACCUGAAAUCCGGCAACAGCCCCAUGAGCAGAGCAGGGUGGAACACAUGGCUAAGGCACACAGCAGCCCAGCAUGGCACCUGGCGUGGAGGGAGAGGAAAGGCCAGUCUAGCGGGGACUGUCACCUCUUGCCACAAAGAUCUUCUUCAAGGGAAAAACCACGUUCUAAAGAAUUUGCAUUGGAAUUACAACCCUUGGAGAUGUCUAUAAGGACUGGAAGAAAAUGGUUUUGCUAAUGUUUGCUGCCCAGUCCAUGUCUCCUGCUGAGUGGGCAACCAACCAGGUGAAGAUGCCCAGAAGGAAGUUAGUUGUGAUUGCUGAACCUGGAAGAUGAUGCAUAUUUGGGGAGUGAAUGCGCCCCGGGAGCUCAUGCGUUUGGGCCAUGUAUAGACAAAUCAGCAGAAGUAGCUGGUUGGCAAGGAGGAAGAUGAAGGAGGCCACGUACAGAGAGAGACUUCGCUGUGAGGGGAAGUGUUAGAAAUGCUUAAAGUGCAUGUCACAAGAGAUGCCUUGGUUCCAGCCUUUCCUGAGGCUGGGUUUUUGGCUCUUCCAGGAUUUCCGUGCAUACAUGUCUUUCAAUAAACCUCAUUAUUUCUGGAA